AUGUGGUGUUAUGGUGGCCUGUUUAAUAUGAAGUCUGUUUUUUCUUUUAGCCUUUCGAAUGCUGUCUACCUGCUAAAGGAACUGCAAGAACAGUUUGGGACAAGCAAAACAAUUGUCUUCAUGUAUGAUAUUGCUUGCAGAUUAAAACCUCACUUGCAGAAGUUUUAUCCAGAUCUUCUGACAAAGAAGCUGACAUUUGCUGUUCCUGCGUUCCAUGCUUAUGGACAUGAUGUUGCUUGUCAGAUUUCAUACAGCUGUAGGAAUGUUGAAGGUGCAGGUUUAGCUGAUGGGGAACAGCUGGAACGACUGUGGUCAUACCUACGCCGUUUUGUAAGGCCUUACAGAGCAAGAUAUACAAGUCUGGGCAAGUCAGUACCGGACAGAGGCCAGGNNNNNNNNNNNNNNNNNNNNNNNNNNNNNNNNNNNNNNNNNNNNNNNNNNNNNNNNNNNNNNNNNNNNNNNNNNNNNNNNNNNNNNNNNNNNNNNNNNNNAUCCAGCCUUGAAGUAACAAAUGCAUGGAUUAGUUUUUCUGCAUCUGUCUGUGAUAGUAUGUGUCUAAUUUUUCUAAUAUUACGUAAAUGAAAGAAGGCAGUCCUAGAGGUCUGCUUUAUGUGGGAGUUAAAUGACAAAUCCUGAUCAAAGAGAACUCCAAGAUUCCUGACAGUGGUGCUAGAGGCCAAGUUAAUGCCAUCUAGAGUGACUAUAUCUUUAGACAAUGAGUCUCUAAGGUUUUUGGGGCCAAGAACAAGAAUUUCGGUUUUUUCUGAGUUUAACAUCAGAAAAUUGCAGGUCAUCCAGGAUUUUAUGUCCUUAAGACAUGUUUGUAAUUUAGAUAAUUGAUUAAUUUCAUUGGGUUUGAUUGAUAGAUAUAACUGCGUAUCAUCUGCAUAACAGUGAAAGUUAAUGGAGUGAUUCCUAAUAAUGUUGCCUAAAGGGAGCAUAUAUAAAGUAAAUAGUAUUGGUCCAAGUACAGAACCUUGUGGAACUCCAUGACUAACUUUAGUAUUUAUGGAGGAUUCAUCGUUAACAUGUACAAACUGAGUACGAUCUGAUAAGUAUGACUUAAACCAGGUUAGGGCAGUUCCUUUAAUGCCAAUUUGAUGCUCAAGUCUCUGUAAAAGAAUAUCAUGGUCAAUGGUGUCAAAUGCAGCACUAAGAUCUAAUAAUACAAGUACAGAGACAAGUCCAUUGUCAGAAGCAGUCAGAAGGUCAUUAUUAACUUUAACCAGAGCUGUCUCUGUGCUAUGAUGAACUCUAAAUCCUGACUGAAAAUCCUCAAAUAAACUAUUGGUCCAAUAGACACAUUAUUGCCAAGAACUGGACUGGUGUGACAACAGACUGUGGUGAAUUAUGGGAUGCACUUGAAUAAAAGCAGUAUUAGAAGUGUGAGGGUUAAGUGUGGGCACUGGGACAGACCCUCUGACUUAGGUAAAGGCCAGAACAACAACAUCCUGCCUGUAAACACCUCAAUUAAAGCACAGUGCUGUGACAUUCUCGGGUCUUUUUCCACAGUAUCGAAAUGCUACAGUAAACAGGGCUGUUUGUCAAUCACUUCUAUUGACGCAAGUUUUCUUGAAUUCAGCCAACGUUUGGGACUAAUUGUCAACCGAUACCUCAGCUUCACUCAGCGUAUUGCUGAGCAGAAGUCACCCUGCCCCAAGUCUAUUAAUCCACGUGAGGGAUCGUAUGAAAAUUUAUCGACACCACCCGGAAGUCUGGAGCCCUACUGCUACCAAACACUACCAUCAUACCAGUUGAUAUUAGCGGUACUGUGGUCUGUGACAAACAAACAACUACACCCACCACUUAUAACAGAGAGGGCUAUCUCAGCCAUGAAGGUGCAUAAUGUGUGAUUUAUGGGUUUGACUUAGAGAAUGAACAUAAUAUAUUGUUGAUCUUAACCACUAACUAUGGAGUGUUGAGUGUGCCACUGGAACAAUUAUAGACUUACACAAAUCCUCCAUACUGGUCCUUUACUUUGCAGAUUAAUAAUGUUUUUCCUUGAAAUAAUUAUUAGAUUUUAAUUGAUACAAAAAACUUUAAUUUGUUUUUUUCACACUUCAUUUGUGUCCUGAACAUUUAGUUUCCAUUUUAAGAUUUUAUAGAUGCUAGCAAUGACCCUCAACGUGUUGAGAGUGAAAGUAAUAUUUUUAUUUAAAAUCCAAGACAAACAAUUUGGCUUACUAAAGUAUUCUGAUGAUACUGUGAUUUUAACGCCCUGUGGUAAAGCUAAAGACUUUUCCACAACUUACUAACAAACUUACAAACUAUCUUUUUCACCUGUCCUGCCAAUUGAAGGCAAAGAAAUCCCCCCCCCAAAAAAUGUUGUUACAGGUGUUAAACAAAAAUAGAUAUUAUUUGAAAAUAUUUGAAAAAACAGUUUUUAUCUAGAGAUGCUGCGGGUCACCUGGCAUGUCUGCGAGAGUCUGCCAGUACCCGAGAAGGGACAAUCCAAAUACUGGUUCUCGAUAGGUCCAUGUUUUUUGUGCAAUUUGUGGCCACAGUAGUUUUUCCUUUGCGCUUGGAAGGGGAGGGUGAAGCAAGGGAGUAACUACACCACUAGAUGCCAUUAAAUCCUACACACUGGUCCUUUAAGUUGACCUGUUAGGAGACAGAAUACAUUGAAUUUAGGUUGGAAAACAAUGCCUCAAAGAGAAAAGCGCUUGACCUCUCAAGACAUCACAAAGUGGAUUUGCUGGAUUUUUUGUCGUACUUUCUUUCAUAAUUAUUUAAAAAACUAUACAUUUUGACCAAAAAUAUUGAAAAGUAAAAACUAGUUCAGACUUCAAAAUAUUUUAAAAAAAAGUCACAAUCUCUUUUCAAUAUAGUAUAUAAUGCAAUAAUUCUGGGGUUCCUUCAAAUCUAUGGAGGACUAAAAGUGCCACAAUUAAAUAAAUAAAUACACCAUUAAAUAAUUACUUAAAUGUGUCAUUAAUUAAUUAAAAUUGGAAUUAAAUACAUAAAUGUGUCAUUAAAUGUGUCAUUAAUUCAUUCAAAUGCCAAUUCAUUUAAUGUAAAAAACAUCAGUGUUGGGCAAGUUACUUUAAAAAAGUAAUUAGUUACAGUUACUAGUUACUUCUUCCAAAAAGUAACUAAAUUAGUUACUCAUUUACAAAUUAUAAAAGUAACUAGUUACUUCAGAAAGUAAUUAUUGCGUUACUUUCAAGUACAUUUUUAAAUGCUCAAAUGUGACCCCACCUCCACCCCUCUUUAACGGAACUUAAAAUACAUGUGCAUGUUCAGUUAUUUAUGAUAAAUCUGAAUAUUAUAAUGAAAUGGACACUUAAUACAAUACAUUAUAAACAGAAACAAUGUACACAAAUCUAAACUAUUUUAAUGUUGCUGUGGGACAAAGUGAGACUAGCCUCCAAUCAAAUGCCAUGUAUGUAGAUAUUAUGUUUAUAUAGUGGAUCGAUACAAAUAACACAAUAGAUGUUUUGGAACUUUUGAUAUUUAUUGCCCCUCAACAGGCCACAACUGGGCAAAAUUCAAUUAUGCUUGUUAAGCACUAUACCAAAAAUAAAUAACAAAUAUAUACACUCUUUGUAGUGCAAAUAAAACAAAAAAAAACUUCAGACAAUUGGUAGAUAUACUGUACUUUUUUCUUCCUGAAAAAAGUAGAACAGUGUAACUAAUCUAACAUAAUAAUAAUAGCAUAAUGUGCAUUUCACGAUUACAUUCGUUCCUUUAAUUUCUUGGAGGGAAAAGUAAUGGCUAUAGUUCCAUUUAGAGAAGGCUACUUUUGGAUUAUUUGGGCUCGCCAUACCUGUCUCUCGUUGACUGACUCGCUUUUGUUGUUCGUUGUGUGUCAGACUAUGCAUGCUUUCGAACACCCACCCAACUCUACGUCUGAUUGGCUUACCAUGAAAUUUUACUCAAUCUUAGCCAAUCGUCAGCAUUUAUACACUUGUCUCGUGCACUCCAACUAACCAAGGAAGAACAAAAAGUCUUUGCCUCUCGGCUCAGAGAUCUAGUUGGUCUGAUGAAAAAAACAGCUUCAAUUAUAGUAACGCGCCGCAUUUUUUUGCAGAAACGGUAAUGGCGUUAAUAAGAUGGGAAGAGUAAUCAGUUAGAUUACUCGUUACUGAAAAAAGUAACGCCGUUAUUUAAAACGCCGUAAUUCCCAUCACUGAAAAACCUAUAUAAUUAUUUCACUAUUUAUUUAAGUAUUUCAUGGUCCUGCGUUGCAGUGCUUCAUGAAUUACUUAAAUCUGUCAAAGUCACCCAUCAAAAGUUGGUAGGCGGAACCUAACGUCUGAUUGGUUACCCUGCGCAUCAAGCCAAGGCAAAUCAAUUCCAGAUAAUAGAUUGAUGCAGAGCUAGUGAACACAUUUCAAUACACUGGGUGGCGCUAUUGGACUACUUCUUCUAAAUCUGUAGUCACUCUGGUCAAUAUCUUGGUCAGAAAGUGCGGAAAUAACUCCAAGAACUUCAAUGAGUUCCUCUGCUUUACUCGCUACAUUCUCUGGGUCAGCAGGUCCUGCUUCCACAUCCUCUGCUAAGUCUAAAAUGUCUGAGUCUAAAAAAUAAAAUAAAGUGUUUAACUUUAGAAAAAUAAAGUAUAGCAGCAGCUUGAGUUUCCC
rnacentral:lncRNA from 15 species